GUGUAGUGUGGUAGUGAUGGGUUUCUCCAGUAGAUGGCAGUAUAACAGUAUAGUGUAGUGUGGUAGUGAUGGGUUUCUCCAGUAGAUGGCAGUAUAACAGUAUAGUGUAGUGUGGUAGUGAUGGGUUUCUCCAGUAGAUGGCAGUAUAGUGUAGUGUGGUAGUGAUGGGUUUCUCCAGUAGAUGGCAGUAUAGUGUAGUGUGGUAGUGAUGGGUUUCUCCAGUAGAGGGCAGUAUAGCAGUGUGGUAGUGAUGGGUUUCUCCAGUAGAUGGCAGUAUAGCAGUGUAGUGUGGUAGUGAUGGGUUUCUCCAGUAGAUGGCAGUAUAACAGUAUAGUGUAUUGUGGUAGUGAUGGGUUUCUCCAGUAGAUGGCAGUAUAGUGUAGUGUGGUAGUGAUGGGUUUCUCCAGUAGAGGGCAGUAUAACAGUAUAGUGUAGUGUGGUAGUGAUGGGUUUCUCCAGUAGAUGGCAGUAUAGUGUAGUGUGGUAGUGAUGGGUUUCUCCAGUAGAUGGCAGUAUAACAGUAUAGUGUAGUGUGGUAGUGAUGGGUUUCUCCAGUAGAGGGCAGUAUAACAGUAUAGUGUGGUAGUGAUGGGUUUCUCCAGUAGAUGGCAGUAUAACAGUGUGGUAGUGAUGGGUUUCUCCAGUAGAUGGCAGUAUAACACAGCUGAUUUGAAUGAAUCCUGACAGUUAUUUUAUACAUGAAUUCAUCUGACGUGUGUGUAGAUAUAUAUCCUCACACACACACACACACACACACACACACACACACACACACACACACACACAGGACCAGUCAAAAGUUUGGACACACCUAGUCAUUUUAAGGGUUUUUCUUUAUUUUUACUAUUUUCUACAUUGUAGAAUAAUAGUGAAGACAUCAACACUAUGAAAUAACACAUAUGGAAUCAUGUUGUAACCAAAAUAGUGUUAAAACAAAUCAAAAUAUAUUUUAUAUUUGAGAUUCUUCAAAAUAGCCACCCUUUGCCUUGAUGACAGCUUUGCACACUGUGUGUGUGUGUGUGUGUGUGUGUGUGUGUGUGCGUGUACACAGUGGAAGUACGACCAGACCACUGCCACCUACCUGUUGCUACUCUCUAAGAAACAGAGAGGGAAACCUGUCCGGAUCAGGCCUCAACUUCCUGUCUGUGAUGUCAUAUCCUGUUCACCGCAACACCUGGGAGUACAGACUCUACUCUUCGGUGAUGAUGAUGCUGAGGACUGUUGCUAUGACGACCUGCCCUGGGUUCCGCUCACACCCCAAAAAGAGGUCAGGGGUCAUCGCUCUCGCACUCUCCUCUCUCUGUCUCUGUCUCUCUCUCUGUGUGCCUUGUUAUCAACAUUCUUGUUUCUGUCUUCCUAAAGAGAGCGACCUGUCCGUCAGCUGAAAAGAGGCGGGAUCAAACUAACCACGCCCCCACUCAGGAGAAGGAGCCAAUCACACACCACCACCGUCGCCAGGAGAGGCGGGACCGAGGCCUGGAACGGACCAAUGAAAACAAAGAGAACGUUGCCGUGGCCAAUAAGGAUGCUGAUAUAUUUGCUUUGCCCGCCCCCCGAACCCCAGUAGCCAAUAGGAAGGCAACUCGGCCCAAUAAGAGGGUGUUGACUACACCAACCCAUAAUAACACCAACAAGGUUGGCAACAAGGUAGACACACCCCAAGGUAAGAACACACACACACACACACACACACAUCCUGAUUCCAUUUUAGUUUUUUCCCAAAUUCAGUUGGCACAUUUGCAAGUAAAUUGUAUUCUGCUAAUAGUCAUUUAGCAGCUUUGUGCCGAAGACUCAUAUUCAUCUGAUUUAUCUCUCUCUCUCUGUGUGUGUGUGUGUGUGUGUGUGUGUGUGUGUGUGUGUGUGUGUGUGAUUAUGAUCACCGUCGACCACCAAAAGUGUGCCCCAUUUUUUUUACAUUUAUUUAUAAUAGCUAGCCUAAUGCUAACUAGCGUGGCUAACGCUAUAACAGUUAUUUGUGAAUGAGUGGGAUGCUAAUGCUGUUAGCUAUUAGCUGUUAGCCCUCUGCGUUUCAAUGAGAGCGAUGAUAAUGAUGGUUGGUUUAUUAUGUAUCCUGCUCUGUCUCAGCCUUUCACUGGAUCCUGGCUUUUACCUCUGACAAAUAAUACAGACGAUAUAUAGAUAGAUCUAUAUAGAUGGAGAUAGAUCUAUAUAGAUAGAUCUAUAGAGAUAGAUCUAUAUUCUCUCUCUAUAUAUAGAUCUAUCUAUCUCUAUAUAGAUCUAUGUAGAUAUAGAUAGAUUUAGAGAUAGAGAGAGAGCUAUUUAUUUUAUUUAUUUAUUUCACCUUUAUUUAACCAGGUAGGCAAGUUGAGAACAAGUCCUUUAUUUAACCAGGUAGGCUAGUUGAGAACAAGUUCUCAUUUACAACUGCGACCUGGCCAAGAUAAAGCAAAGCAGUUCGACAACAUACAACAACACAGAGUUACACAUGGAGUAAAACAAAACAUACAGUCAAUAAUACAGUAGAAGAAUAAGUCUAUAUACAAAUGUGAGCAAAUGAGGUGAGAUAAGGGAGGUAAAGGCAAUAAACAGGCCAUGGUGGCAAAGUAAAUACAAUAUAGCAAUUAAAACACUGGAAUGGUAGAUUUGUAGUAGAAGAAAGUGCAAAGUAGAAAUAGAAAUAAUGGGGUGCAAAGGAGCUAAAUAAAUACCGCAGGGGAAGAGGGAGUUGAUCUAGAUCUAUAGAUCUAUGUAGAUAGAGAUGGAGAGAUAGAUCUAUGUAGGUAUAGAUAUCUAUGAGCAGUUUUUCACUAAUAAUAUUGAUGUCACACACAUUCUCUCUGUGUGUAAUUUAUAACCCACCUCUCCAGUCCUGCUACAGCUGACAGCUCUGUCCAGACCAACACACCAGGGACCGUGUGUGUGUGUGUGUGUGUGUGUGUGUCCCUGGGCGUGUACUGUGACAGGUGUUGCUGUCUCUUUCCCUGCUCUCUGUCCCAUGUGGUGUGUACUGACAUGUGUUACACACUUUUCCCGUGUGUGUGUGUGUGUGUGUGUGUGUGUGUGUGUGUGUUGCAGGAGGAGGAGGCAGUACUUGUAAGGACCCGUCGAGGAAGAGACAGAGGGAGAGAGUGGAAAGAAAGGAGGACGACGAGCUGGAGAUGCUGACCUUCAGCCCAGAGAGAAGGUAUGAUGGAGAUGCUGACCUUCAGCCCAGAGAGAAGGUAUGGUGGAGAUGCUGGCCUUCAGCCCAGAGAGAAGGUAUGAUGGAGAUGCUGGCCUUCAGCCCAGAGAGAAGGUAUGAUGGAGAUGCUGGCCUUCAGCCCAGAGAGAAGGUAUGGUGGAGAUACUGGCCUUCAGCCCAGAGAGAAGGUAUGAUGUAGAUGCUGGCCUUCAGCCCAGAGAGAAGGUAUGAUGUAGAUGCUGGCCUUCAGCCCAGAGAGAAGGUAUGGUGGAGAUGCUGGCCUUCAGCCCAGAGAGAAGGUAUGGUGGAGAUGCUGGCCUUCAGCCCAGAGAGAAGGUAUGGUGGAGAUGCUGAUCUUCAGCCCAGAGAGAAGGUAUGGUGGAGAUGCUGGCCUUCAGCCCAGAGAGAAGGUAUGGUGGAGAUGCUGGCCUUCAGCCCAGAGAGAAGGUAUGAUGGAGAUGCUGGCCUUCAGCCCAGAGAGAAGGUAUGAUGGAGAUGCUGGCCUUCAGCCCAGAGAGAAGGUAUGAUGGAGAUGCUGGCCUUCAGCCCAGAGUGAAGGUAUCAUGGAGAUGCUGGCCUUCAGCCUAGAGAGAAGGUAUAAUGGAGGAACUGACCUUCAGCCUAGAGAGAAGGUAUGAUGGAGAUGCUGGCCUUCAGCCCAGAGAGAAGGUAUGAUGGAGAUGCUGGCCUUCAGCCCAGAGAGAAGGUAUGAUGGAGAUGCUGGCCUUCAGCCCAGAGAGAAGGUAUGAUGGAGAUGCUGACCUUCAGCCCAGAGAGAAGGUAUGAUGGAGAUGCUGGCCUUCAGCCUAGAGAGAAGGUAUGAUGGAGAUGCUGACCUUCAGCCCAGAGAGAAGGUAUGGUGGAGAUGCUGGCCUUCAGCCCAGAGAGAAGGUAUGAUGGAGAUGCUGACCUUCAGCCCAGAGAGAAGGUAUGGUGGAGAUGCUGAUCUUCAGCCCAGAGAGAAGGUAUGAUGGAGAUGCUGACCUUCAGCCCAGAGAGAAGGUAUGAUGGAGAUGCUGGCCUUCAGCCCAGAGAGAAGGUAUGAUGGAGAUGCUGACCUUCAGCCCAGAGAGAAGGUAUGAUGGAGAUGCUGGCCUUCAGCCCAGAGAGAAGGUAUGAUGGAGAUGCUGGCCUUCAGCCCAGAGAGAAGGUUACUGAUGAUGACUUGAUAAAGACAGACAACAGAAAGUAUCCCUUCUAUCCCUAGGUUAGAAUGGAGGGUUUGGCUAGGGGGGGUCCUUGGCUCGUCGUGUUCUAGCGACUCCUUGUGGCGGGCCGGGCGCCUGCAAGCUGACCACGUCGGCGAGGCUGGCUUCCGGGUUAACCGAGCCGUGUGUUUUAAGAAUUAGAGCUGCUUUGACCUUCGACCUCUCCCGAG
ensembl:lncRNA